rnacentral:rRNA from 1 species
UGAAACAACGCACUUAAGCACAGAAAAGCAGAGACUACCUCUCGUACCUUUUGCAUCAUGAUCUAGCCAGUAAACCCAAGCAAAGAGAACUCUAGUUUGAACCCCCGAAACCAGACGAGCUACUCCGGGACAGCCUAUAGUAGGGCCAACCCGUCUCUGUGGCAAAAGAGUGGGAAGAUCCCCGAGUAGAGGUGAAAGACCUACCGAGUCCGGUUAUAGCUGGUUGCUCAAGAAAUGAAUACAAGUUCAGCCCCGCUACGCCCCUCGCCACAACAGUUUUACUAAGACUAGGCAAAGGGACACUAACGGAAGUUAGUUGAAGGAGGUACAGCUCCCUCAACAAAGGACACAACCUUCAACAGGAGGCUAAAGAAUAAAUUAAAACGAGGCCACAGGUUUCAGUGGGCCCUAAAAGCAGCCAUCUGAACAGAAAGCGUUAAAGCUCGGACCAGAACAAGCCUAUUAUAAUAUUAUAACCUCUAAUGCCCCUAUUACUACUGAGCCAUCCUAUGCCUACAUAGGAGGGACCAUGCUAGAACGAGUAACAAGAAGAAUGAACUUCUCCCCGCACAAGUGUAAGUUGGAUCGGACCCCCCACCAACAAUUAACGAACCCAAUAAUAGAGGAGCCUACACCCCCGCCACCCUAGGCCAAGAAGACCACGUAUUACCAUAUCGUUAACCCCACACAGGAGUGCUAGACAAGGGAAAGACUAAAAGGAUGAAAAGGAACUCGGCAAACCGAAACCCCGCCUGUUUACCAAAAACACCGCCUCCUGACCACACCACAUAGGAGGUCCCGCCUGCCCAGUGACCAAAAGUUUAACGGCCGCGGUAUUUUAACCGUGCAAAGGUAGCGCAAUCAAUUGUCUUUUAAAUGAAGACCUGUAUGAAUGGCAUAACGAGGGUUUAACUGUCUCUUUCUCCUGGUCAGUGAAACUGAUCUACCCGUGCAGAAGCGGGUAUGAAUAUACAAGACGAGAAGACCCUAUGGAGCUUUAGACGCCCACCAAUCACGAAAAGCAGGUCUCGCUCAACAGACUUCCAAACAACGUGAUACUGGCACAAACGUCUUCGGUUGGGGCGACCGCGGGAGAGAAAAAAGCUCCCGAGAGGAUUGGGGCUACCCUAAAACCAAGAGCUACACCUCUAAGUCACAAAACAUUUGACCAAAAAUGAUCCGGCUACAUGCCGAUUAACGAACCAAGUUACCCUAGGGAUAACAGCGCAAUCCCUUCCCAGAGUCCAUAUCGACGAAGGGGUUUACGACCUCGAUGUUGGAUCAGGACAUCCUAAUGGUGCAGCCGCUAUUAA